rnacentral:lncRNA from 1 species
CGUGAGUCAAAGUCUACAUUUUAGUAAAAUCUCUUUGUCAUAUGUGGGCACAUUAACAUUUGAGAAGUACCAAUUUAACUCUUAGAAUCUCACUAAAUUGUAAAUUGUCAUAUAAUACUUCCACAAAUGGUAAAAAGUAUUGAAUGAGAUAUUCCAUGCCAAGAAUCUGGCACAGAAGCCUGGGGUAAAAGGACUUCCUUCUACUAAAAAAGAAGGCAAGGCACACUUUUGUGACUGUCUGGUUGCUCAUAAAGGGUGAUGAAAGAAGCUGUAACUGUUCACAGGCACUAACCUACAGAAAAGGGCUUGUCUACUCCUGGGAGUGUAGCAUUGAGAACACAUAUCAGUCAACUUCGUCCAUCUCAUGAAAGAUGUGCCAGCAUGUCUCCAGUCCUAUGUGUGGAGGGGUCCCUGAGCUGUUGACUAGACCAGGUUACUUAGUCCAAAGCCAGACUAUCUUGUUGGCAUAUCUCCUUCAAGUAUAAUGAGACUCAAAAAAAUUCCUGCUUCAUUUGUGCAUUAAUUCCCAGAAAGAAAUUACUCUCGGGACCAUUGUAGUCAAGCAAGAUUCUGUUUUAGUCUUCUUGCCCCGAAGAUGAAGACAGCUGUAGAGUACAGCUUUGUAAUUGUACAGUUCUUACAAAUGCAGUGUACAUACACUGCUCCCAUGAGUUUAGCCUGUGUCUUCCUAGUUGAUUUAGUUAAAGCAUUGUAGAUGGAAAGGAUGGGGUGCCCAGAAGCUUUCAGUCCCUUCAUCUAAAAAAUCAGUAUUGAGUACCCAAGGUGUGUAACACCCUUCAUGAGUUGUUCUUAAACCUAAUGUUUUUAUCAUGUUGUUGGUGGGUGAGCUUAGUAUGUAUCUAUACUUAUGUAUAGAAAAGAGAUAAAGAAAAAUGCUUUCUAUGUGCAAGUUUACAUAUCAUGUUGAUAAAUAAAUAGCAUUUACGUAGCAGUAGGAAGAAGCAUAUAGAAAUUGCUAACUAGCUUUUCUAAUCUUUUAAUGCCAAGGAUACUAGGUGUUCACUUAAAUUGCUCACAUAGAUUUCAGUAUAUAAAUACAUUGACUAGGCCCCUAUCUGCUAUAAAAGCAAAUGUGUGGACUUUUGAAUACUGACAAUAAAGAUAGAUGUAAAAUUAUAUAUAUUACUUCAAACAGAUUGUUGAUGCUUUUCAAUAUAACUCAUCUUCCCAAAUGAGAUCAUUUGUCACUCUAAUGUUUGCUAUUUGAAAAUAUCAUUAUAAGUAUAUGCUAGCUAUGCAUAUUACACAACUCAUGUGACAUUUCACCCCAUAAACACAUAAAGAUGACUGGAUUUUUGGAGCUGUUUCUAGAGGCAAAAAAGAAUGGAUCUUUUAAAAUAAUCUGUAAUAUAGUUACCAGAAAUAAAUAUGCAAUACCAACAUGGAUGAUCCAGAAAAAAAUUUCCAUUUCAUUAAUCUACAUUUUGAUCACUUCAUCUAGUACUGUUUUUUCUUAUCAAUUCAGAGAAAUAUUGUACUGCUGAAAGCUACACUUAGUACACUUAGGUGUACUCUUAAAAGUAUUUUACUCCUAUUUGCCCAGAAUUGAUCACCGCACUUUAGUGUACCAUAAACAAUAUGCUGGGUUUUAUGCCUGCAGCCUGUUUUCUAAAAGUGCUAAGCUUAGCAGGAUUGCACUGUGAUGAUCAUUGCUUUUGAAUCUAACAGAUUUUAUGUUUUCAAACUACAUGGAUAAUGAUAACACAUGGCCAGUUUUCCAUUUAGUGCUGGAAUUUUUCUGUCUCCUGGGGCAACCCCAGAUAAGCCUUUUAAGGACUUGAUUACAGUUUGGGCUCCCCCAAGUCUUUUUUCCUUCUGCUAAACACUUUGAUUUUCAACAACUGCUCUAUAAUGCCCUGGUCUUUAGGACUUUCUCUCUCCCAAGCCUCUCUCUAUGAUCUACUCCAGUUAAAUGUCUCUAGUUAAACACAUGGGUUCAAUCCCUAGCACUGGAAAAAAAGAGUGUUGGUUUCAGUUCUUUCUCCCCUGUAUAUCCAUAGUCUUAGCGGUACAGUUUUUCAGUUCCUCCUACAAAUGCAGGGUAUAUUUCUCACAUGAAUUUAGGCUGUUACUUACCACUUGAUUUAGUUAAUGAGAUAGAAAUGAUGGGAUGCUGCUUUUGAGACUAGGACAAAGCUACCAUGUUUCCACUCCCCUCUUAUAUUUUUGUUAUGUUCAUAAGCAGAAUGCACACUGGCUGGUCGAAGGAGGAAUGAGAGAUACAUGGAGGCAACCCAGAUCCAGUCCACAGCCCAGAGCCAGAUUUCCACCUUGACUGGGAUCAGUAGAGGUUCCCAAAUGACCUGCAGAUACAUGAGAUAGAAAUGUUUAUUGUCAUAUGCAAAUGAGAUUUUGUAGUUGUUUGACAGCACAAAUGGACUGAUAUAGGUCUGUUCUAGUUAAAGUGAUAUCCAGGACAAAAUGUGAAGGAUAGGUGCCUUUCUUUGGGACACUUAGGAAUAUUGCAUAAUCCUAUUUGUGAAAUGUCCCAGGUUAUGCUUCCACAUAGACUACAAUGAUGUUAAUACAAUGAACUCAUCUCCUAUAUUGCUUAUUAUUACAUUAGUACUGCAAUUGUGUGGGUGUGUAUGUUUUUGUUUGUUGUUUAUUUGUUUGUUUGUUAUUGCAGUGCACGGAAUUGAACCCAGAGCUUUGCACAUGGUAGGCAAGUGCUCUACCACUGAGCCACACCCCCAACCAUGCAUUUGACUGUUUCUUUGUUCAAAUUAGAAACAUUCUUGGUUCAUAUAGAAUCACUAUGGCAGAUGACCUCAUCAUUUGCUCAUUUGUUUAAUAUUUUUAAAUAUGAUCUAAAUAUGUAGGGUUUUUUUGUUGAUAUUCAUUAAAUUUCAGUUUGAUGAUUUGGCUAUUUGAAUUUUGAACUAAACCAUGCAAAAUUCAUCUCAUAGAAUCAUCCUAUGUAAUGUUCCUUAAAAAAAAUCUUUGGUCAGAUAAAUUUCCUAAAAUAUUUAUACUGUAUUAUUA